rnacentral:tRNA from 2 species
AGGGCUAUCGCCAAGCGGUAAGGCACAGCACUUUGACUGCUGCAUCCCAGGUCCGAAUCCUGGUAGUCCUG